rnacentral:rRNA from 1 species
AUUGAACGCUGGCGGCAGGCCUAACACAUGCAAGUCGAGCGGAUGAAGGCAGCUUGCUCCUGGAUUUAGCGGCGGACGGGUGAGUAAUGCCUAGGAAUCUGCCUGGUAGUGGGGGAUAACGUCCGGAAACGGGCGCUAAUACCGCAUACGUCCUGAGGGUGAAAGUGGGGGAUCUUCGGACCUCACGCUAUCAGAUGAGCCUAGGCCGGAUUAGCUAGGUGGUGGGGUAAAGGCCUACCAAGUCGACGAUUCGUAACUGGUCUGAGAGGAUGAUCAGUCACACUAGAACUUGGACAGGGUCCAGACUCCUACGGGAGGCAGCAGAGGGGAAUAUGGGACAGUGGUCGGAAGCCUGAUCCAGCCAUGCCACGUGUGAGGAGAAGAUCUGCCGAGUGUAAAGAACUUUAAGUUGUGAUGAAGGGCAGUAAGUUAAUACCUUGCUGUUUUGACGUUACCAAGUGAAUAAGCACCGGCUAACUUCGUG